rnacentral:lncRNA from 1 species
GCCAAAUCCAAGUUUUCAGUUCCAAAGACCACCCUGCUGCUGGCAUAAAGGAUGGAUAUGAGGACGAGAAGAGGAGGUACGUGGGUACUAGCACAAGAAUGCUCGCAAAGGGCAGUCAGUAAGUGUAUGAAGCAUGAUGAUACCAGUAGAAGAUGGGAUCCUGGUUUUGAUGACUGGCCUGGUUAUCCUACAAAAACAGUAGUUGCCACCACAGAGAAUUUUGAACGUUUCUCUUACAAGACCACUGAAUUAAUUAGAGAAAGGCUUUGGCUUUUGCUUUGGCAAAUGUGUGGCCCAGAAUUGAUUGUCCUAAGACCACUUCAACUAUUCAGAUUUUCGAGUUUGAAUUCCUCAUAGCGAUUGGCUGGUUUUUCUUUUUCCUAAUUUUAAAUUCCACAAGUAAAUUUUUGUGUGACUGUUUUUUCUGGAAUCUCAUUGUAUUGCCCAUGUUGAUCUUAAAUUCAUAGACUCAAGAGAUUUCCCUGCCUCAGUCUUAUGAAUAGCUAGAAGUACAAGCAUAUACCUCCACUUCUGGCUUGAGAAGUUUGUUUACUUUUUGUGUUUACACAUAAUCUCAUUAGAAGUAAUCAGGAGGCAAGACCUCCUGAGGUCUGCUGUUUUAUUUUAGCAGAAGCUGUAAGAAGUUUUCUGAAAUGCAGGUAAGAAUGCUGGAAGGAAGGGAUAUUUGUCUCCAGUACAAUUCUACACACAUACACACACCCACACACACUCAGCAAUGUGUAUUUACAUGCUAAUCAUUCAAUAAAAUGAUAUAUGAGAGAGAAAACUAUGAAGCAAGCACAAUCAGGA